rnacentral:antisense_RNA from 1 species
CUUCACCGAACCCAGCCACAGGGGCCGGUCGGCCGGGCGGUCAUGGCCGUACGUGGCGAUCAGUGCCUGCGCCUC